CAAAAAACAGUUCCUAUAGCCUGUAUGAACAUGUAGUCUCCUAGAUUAUCCUCAGAACAAACUGGGAUGAAGCUAUCAAUUCCUUUUCAUGUGGGUUUAGAGGGGAUCCUCUUAAGCAGAGGCUUGGAAGUAGGAUGGAAGGGAGAAGCAGAAAGGAGGAAUGAAGCAGCAAAUGAAACACAACAAAACAAAAUGCCAAAAAGCAAGGAAAAGGACAGUGGUUUUAUUCUGCAGAUUGACGGGGGUGUGGGGCUACAAGUGCAAAGCUGAGAAGCACCUGUAGAGCUUUCCUAGACUUGAUAGCAACUAAAGCAAGGCAAUGAGAACGUGUGAGGACAGUGGGGUGGUUCAUGGGAGGGGAAGAGGAAGAUGAGGUUGUUGGGAGGGGAAUGUGCUCAUGUAAGCAGUAGAAACCCACAGUAGACAUGUCCCAUGGUGACUUUCUGAGAGCUUCUGUCUCCAACAGGCUCAAGUGCUCCUGACCUUCGGAAAAGUUUGGACUCUGAGCCAAAUUCCUUGUCUGCAGCUCAUCCCUGACCAGCGUUUUGCCAGCCUUAGCUCACGUGCUUCACAUUUACUCUUCGUGCAAAGUCCCCUUGUUAGGGGGCGGUGGUGUCAGCCACUUGCCCUACACCUACAGGGAUGGCAUUGUUAAGAGGCACUUUCACACCAUGCGUCCCGCGCUCGGAGGUGGCAUCCGGGGCUUCACGCAGGCAUUCUCACUUCCAGCUCACAGGAGUGGUGGCAUGGCCUGCUAUAAAUCAGGAGCCUGCACGUGAUUGACAUCUGAACUGGCAGCGAGAGGACAAGGGCUGACAUCUGGUUUACACAUGCUCUGUGCUGGGUAUGUCCUUGGUGGCAAAGUCCUUCAGAUAUGGUGCUCUGGGGCUGGGAGAUGUCUCCUGCAGGAGGGUGUUGCAGGCAGGCUUGUUUUCACACCUUACUGUGCUCUUUAUUAUUAUUGUUGUUAUUAUUAUUAUUAUUUAUUUUUUUUCUAAUGAGAAGUGUCCAAAAGUACUAGGAUUAAUUUGGAAGCACCGGGAAUCUGAGCUCCAGAGCUGCAGUUGACCAAGAAAGCUCAGCCAAGUGACUGAACUGGUCCUUGCAUCUUGCUUCUCCAUGAAAAGGAGGUGCUCAGAGAUCAGUGAAGCAGGAGACUCUUUCCCUGAGUAAGGAUUUGGGUGCUUUUUGCACACUUUAAAUCGUUUCAAGAACAUUGAAAACAUUUAGUUCUCUGUUGAUUGGAAAAACAGAACUGAACUUCUGAAGUAUGCGGUUUAUUCAUAGAAACAUCUGAGCCAUGCCAGCAUUCAAGUUUGUGUUUAACUCUGAAGCAACGUGGCUUCCAGUUUUGUCAGGGCUGUAACACCACGGUGUUCAAUUGCUCCGAGACCAUGGUUCACUGUUUUGAUGCACAAGACCCCAUUGAUCCCAGUUAUCCCCAUUAGGAAACCAGGGUGAGACUCAGCUGUGCCCUGGAUGGAUUCCUACAGAAUAAUGCCUGAAAACUCUUCUCCAUGAUGUGCCUUCCUGCACAGUGCAGUGGGGCCUUGGCUUCUGAUUAAGUCCACAAUAUCAAUGUAGAGGCUGGCACCAAAGGAACCUCGAGGGGAUGGGAGUACCAGAGCACCUUGUUUUAGAACCUGCAUUCUCUUUCUCACAGGGUUGUACCCAUACUAAGUGUGGUUUUACAUUUUUAAUUCUGCUUCCAGAAGGAAACAAAAAGACAGAAGAAGCAAAUCAGCCUGCCCUGGGUUGGAUACAGGGAGGUUUCAUUUUCUCUGAGUGCCAACGUCAGAUGGAUGAAAACAGACAAGGUCAAUUUUCACAUUCUCAACCCCAGGUGAAGAAGAUCAAGAGAAAAGUUCAAAAAGCCCUUAUUAGAUGGCAAAAGGCUUAGCCUAAGAACGAAAGACUUCCCAGGCUUGUUGGAGGACCACGCUGUUGGAGUUCAUUAAUGUACCAUAGUGCCACUGCGUCUUCAGAUGGACCUGUCAGAAAUGUUAUAAUAUAACCUCUCCUCCACUUUAAGUUUUGUGUCACUUUUGGGUGACACGAAAGCUUAACUUAGAUCCAAAAAACAUGUUUUAACCAUUUAGCCCCAGCACAUUUCUGAAAGCCGUGCAAAAGUAAGUACUAAUAAUUAAGAUGUCUUCAUCCAUGCCAUAUGAGUCUUCUUGGGUUCUGUCUUCAGUAAAGCAUGAAUCUGUUUAGUCAAAGUAAUUAUACAAGCACAUAGAUGCUAGCAACCAAGUUUUUCUGAUUAAGGAAGAAGGAUCUUCUUAUUUUCUACCCACAGACACAAGCUCAAAUGCCCUCCUGUUCCACAUUCCCUUGACAAGCCAUUUUUCAUGGCCCAAGCUUUGUGUUUCUGCAGGAGGAUGCUGCUCUUUUCUGCCCUCCUGGCUUUCAAGCCAUGCAGACCUACUUCCUGCACUCAAAUCCCUCACAGCCCAACUUGAAGUCCCUCCUGAAGCACUGCUCAGAAGGCACAGCUUGUUGUGUAUCUUGGGAAUGGCAUCAACAUGAGCAUGACCUGCGUCUUUGCCAGGAAAACAUGCUUUGGGACAAAAUCUUGCCCAGAAGUAAACACAGAGAGACUCUGGGACUGGUUGCCUUUGAGGGGGUGAAGGCUGGUGAAAGCAGGGUGCUCCCGUGGCUUUGCAUGGGGAUUCAGAGAGCUGCGCACCCAGUGCACUAACCAGCAUGGAUCUCCCCACCAGGCAUCGUGGUCAGUGACUUGGAAGAGCUGAGCUGCGGCUUUAAUUCUCUUUUUGCUUUUGUCUCUCUUCUGAAGCGAAGCCCCAGAGAACUUUUCUUGCAGGUGACUUCUGUGUCUGUAAGCCAAGUCCUGCUCCUUGGUGCUGGAUUGCGUGACAGGCUCACACUUACUCCACUUUGUAGGAAAAUACCCCGGAGAUUAUGCACCUUGGAUUAUUCAGCUUGAUCAGCCUCAUAAUUCUGCCUGACACUGAAAUGUAUUAAUUUUUUCCACAAUGCCUGGUCUGGAUUUCCUUGUGUAAGACUCAGGAUGUGGUAUUCCUUGAAGAAUUCUUUUGCACUGUAUAACUUUACAAUAUGUAUAGUUUCUGCUCUCCAUUUAUUCGCAUCAUGUGCUAGGCUGAAGCAGGGAUGGUUGUGUCUGUGAUCUGUGCAUCUCAUUGAAUCCAGGAUCCCAAAAUGUUCACAUGUUCAUAUCCUUUCCUUAUUAGCAAGUGAUUUAGGGAGAAGACAUUUGGAUUAUGGUUAGGAAAAUGUUCAUAUAAAACCUUUUAUAUUUAGUCUUUGUACACUUGUAUUUCUGUUUUCAACUGAAAUGAUGAUUCCCAUCCCCUUGCUAGCAGAGGAGAGGUAAUGUAUCCCCAAUGGGCAAGCUGAGCUCUCUUACACAUUGCCACAAUUCAUCUUUUCAGCUCUGACACGAGAAUCUCUGCAGAAAUGAGGCAGAGAACUUGGUUUUCAGCUUCCAGACUUACCGUCCUGCUUUCCCAUGGGAAGGACUCUCACCUUGCAAGCGCAGGGGAUUUCCUCUGCAGCUGAUGGGAAACAAAUGUCCCAGAGUCAUUCACAGUGUGCUUUACCUAAUGCCAUUGUGUGAAAAGGAGGAUGCCAGCUCCGAAAAGUGACUCCACAUACGCUUUACCCCACCCGGAGGUUUGCUGCUCAUAUAUUCGGUUGAGAGUUGGUAUUAAUUUUUUUUUCCCCUAUUAGCUCUGCAGGCCAACGCAGCAGAAGGAUGGAGACGGACUGGGGCCCUGCUUGGGUUACACAGGUACGGACAGAACUGGGAUCAGCCCCUGGGCUUGCCAAAAGCUUUUUUUCUCACUGUGGUUCUGGAGAGGAGAGUGCCUCCCUUCUCUGGAGGGGUGCAGAGCACCCGAGAGUGGGACGGGAUCGCUGUGAGCUCCACAUCACAGCUUUUUGCUAGGGGUAAAAGAGCCCAUGGAGCAAGACGGAUCAAUUGCCUUUACAGCUGGGCUGACUGAUGCCAUUGGGGAAGCAUUCCCAAAGCGGGGAUCCGCGUGCUGAGGCUGCCAGAAAGCGUCAGACCUUCCCAGCCCUCUCCUGCCCCGGGACGUGGUGCUGCUGGCCAGGGAGAGCUGCUGGCUGCUCCUGGAGGAUCCCCCGUGCUAGCGAAAUCCCACUGCUGCCUUCAGACACGCUCUCGACUUCGCUGGAGCAGCAUCAAAGGCGAAAGGGAGGUGAAGCCGAGGACUCGACCCGCCAGCCCAGGCUGAACUGCAGGGCUGGCAGUGAGGAGAAAAAAAGGAUUUCUGCUGCUAAACAGAUUUGGGCUGGACUCGCUGAGGAUUUACCGGGAGCUAACCCGGCUGUCCCCGCACUUCUCUUUGGAAGGGGUCUGCACAUGCACGGAUCAUCCAGUUUUGUGGGCUGCCCUUCCUUACAAACCCUGUUCAGAUUUUAGUGAGGGCAUUAUUUUCCCUUUGAUUUAGCACCGCCAGGAGUUAUUCUAUUCUACCCGGGCUUGUCUAUUUACUCUUUAAAGCAUGUUCCUUUUAUUUACUCCUCCGGAGCUGCCUGUUUAAUCCAAUCUCUUUUCCACUGAAUUACACCAGCACAAUAACAUGGGCAAACAGGUUCAGCCUGGGUCACGGGUGGCAGAGGAAGGGGCUAUAUUCUUGCCAGAUAAUAACUCUAGCAUUAAGAAUAAAAAAGGGAAUUUACUGUGAAUAGUGAGUUUUAUAGCUAAAUAGGGAGCUGCUGUUACCAAUCCAUACUUGCAAUGUUUUUGCAGCACCACUUCCCCCCCAAAAAAAACACUCCCUCCCAAAAAAAAACACUCCCCCCAAAAAAAACAAGUGAUUGACCUGAACAUGAGGGACAAGACAGGUCCCAAACUCACACCCUCACCUCGCAGCUUGACACCAAAACCCCACGGGUGCCAUUCAUUUCUCUGUUGGACCCCACCAUAGUGCAAACUGUGAAUAAAAGCCUGUUUCAAAUAAAAUAAAAAAUGGGGAGCAUCUUUUAUUUGGUGAUAAUAAAACGGUGGCAGUUUGGU